CUGUUAACCCAUAAUAGACUUUUUAGAGAAGGAAGGCUUUUAUCUUGGCUCUUACUGUCGAUUAAAUGUAGCAUAGUCAGUCGAUUUCAGAUCAUGAUAGAUCAGAUAUAGUCGACUAUUUUUGCACAAUGUACAAGUAGUUCUCUAUCACUGUGAUGCUGCUUUUGACUACUGGGGAAAAGGAACGAUGGUCACCGUGUCAUCUGAGUCUCAGACUAAGCCCUCAGUUCCCUUCAUUGUAUCCCAGUGCGGAACUCCAACAGACGGUCUCCGGACAUUCGGCUGCAUCACUAGUGGUUUCUUUCCUGAAUCGCUGGAGAUGGAGUGGACUCUUGCUUCCGGCAGUAAGAGUAAUGAGGUGCAGUUCCCGGCUGUGAAGUCGCAAAGUAAUUCGUUCACAGCGGUGAGUCAGUUGCAGAUCAGUGCCACAGACUGGACUAAGAACUCCCUGACCUGCACUGUGAAGCAUCCUGCCGGCUCAGAAACUGUGAAGGGAUACUCUCCACCAGUCAUCCACGUGGGUGAAGUUGGCCAAUCAAUUAUGUGUUUGAUUGAGGACUUCCUCCCUGAAAAGCUAAGUAUUAAGUGGAAAGAGGACAACCAGGAAGUCAAAGGCAUUGACUGGAAAACUACUGAAAAUCCUACAGGCUCUUUCAAAGCUAUUAGUUUGCUUCAAGCCAACAAAACAAGCAAGGAAACCAAAUACAGCUGUGAAGUCACAAAUGCAGAUGUCACAUAUGUACAGCAACUCUCAUCUAAAGCUAAGUUCUCUCUAAAGAUCAAUCCACCAUCAGUAAAGGAGCUUUUUGUACAUAAUAAAACAGUAAUCACCUGUGUCAUAACUGGUGAUAAUAAAAACGAAGUGGAAGCAGCAAACAUGACAUGGACAAUUGGGAAACACCCAGCAGCAGCAGAAAGUACCGCAACAGAUAAUGUUAAAGAGACGACACCACCAUUUACUAAAACCAGUACUUUAACCCUCAAUGAAUCUGAAUGGUUUUCAGGGUCAGAAGUAAAGUGCUCUACUUUAAGAGAUAAAACACCAUUCUCAGAGACAAUUAAAGUGAAGAAAGGAGGUAAACGCCCCUCUGUUCUCUUCUACAAACCUGAGAAGCAUGUCUCUGACGCUGAUAAAGUCUCUCUGUUGUGUGAGGUCAGCAGCUCUGAUCUGGGGAAUGUGUACAUCGUGUGGCAAAAGAAUAAUGAUCCAUACAUGGAAGGCAGCAGCACAGUUCGCGUCAAUGAUAAUACUGUCCUCAGCUACUUAACCAUGCCUGGAAGAGAUUACAAAAAUAAGAACAAUAAGUUCACUUGUGCAGCCAAAGACGCCAACAAGGAGAAUGACACCACGCCGAGGAUAAACUCUACAUCUGCGAAGCCUUCAGCACCAGAUCCAGGAUUGUAUAUGGAUUGUGUUAAGGACAUUACAGGUGAAGACGAUUACAACAGUUUGUGGUCCACCGCCUCGUCCUUCAUCUUCCUCUUCCUCUUCACCAUUGUCUACAGCACUGUCCUCAGCCUCUCCAAGAUGAAGUAAUGCUGAACUGAAAAACAAAUGAAGAGAUUCAGUAUCUAUUUUCCUAAAUCUUCUAAAACUGUUUUCUGGUAUUGUUUAAUCUGUAUGUUUUCUGGUCUGUGCUGUAUAUGCAUGUGUGUAUUGUUUGUGUGUCAGCAAUAAUUAUUUUUUAUGUACUAUUUUAAUUCAAGACUAAAAUAUAUGAAGAUGAAAAAUGAUGUUGCCUUAGUAAAUCAAUAAAAUUGUAAUGG